AGGCCGUUAGCUCAGCUGGCAGAGCACCGGACUUUUAAUCCGGGUGUCGCGGGUUCGACUCCCGCACGGCCUACCA
rnacentral:tRNA from 1 species